GCCUGGCAUGGUGGCGCAUGCCUGUAAUCCCAGCAGCUCGGGAUGCAGAGGCAGGAGCAUCCUGAGUUCAAAGCCAGCCUCAGCAAUUUAUCAGGUGCUAAGCAACUCAGUGAGACCCUGUCUCUA
rnacentral:sRNA from 1 species